UCUGUGAUCCCUUUAAGUUGUGUUUAUGAUGUCAGGCUCAUAACCUGAAGGUCGUAGGUUCAAAUCCUACUCCCGUAACCA
rnacentral:tRNA from 1 species